GUCUAACGGACACUCGGCAAAAAACUUGUUUGCCGAGUGUCCUCUAUUUGACACUCGGCAAAUAGUGAAAUAUUUUCCUUACCGCCCAAAAAUUUCGGAUUUUUUUGAAUUUACGCCCGCGCAGACUGUGCCUUCUACGAGUGGCUCGGCCCACAGCCCAAACCCCAGCACCCACCUCCAACCCUAGCUCUUCCAAUCCCCAAUUCCCCAUCUCCCGUCCCGCUCCACUCACAUGCGCCGGCGCCGACGCCUUUUCCGCCUGGCCGCCGCCCCUCACGUCCCCUACGCAGUCGGCCGCAGCGGCUCACGGCCCCUACACAGUCGGCCGCCGCCCCUCACGUGCCAAGCUCGGGCGGGCAGCGGCGGGCGCGGCCGUGCGGGCUACGGCUGCGGCGCGUGCCGUGCUUGGUCGAGCGGAGGGCCGGAGCUGUGCCUGGUCGCGUCAGCGGAAGACACCAGCCAUCGGCAAGCCACAGCCUCUCAGCACGCCAGCAGCUCGGCGCCUCGGCCAGCACAUCGGCGGAAGACACUCGGGCGACCAGCAGGUAGCAGCACGCCAGCUGCAGACCUCUCAGAGAGAUGGAAAGUGGGAUAUGUACAUGUACUGUAGUUAAUUUGUCUGGCAGUUCAAGUGCUGAAUUGCUCGCUACCUUCUGUGAUAACAUUCUGAAGAAAGGCUGCAGUGAAAAGCUCAGUGAUGAAGCCAUUGAAGAUGCCCUUGAGAAGGUGGUAAGAUUGCUUGCAUACAUCAGUGAUAAAGACCUCUUUGCUGAGCUAUCUUCCAGGAAGAAACUUGCAAGAAGAUUGCUUUUCGACAAAAGUGCUAAUGCUGAGCUAUCAGUGAUAAGAUUGCUCCUGUGGUGGCUUUUUUUUUCCUCUUUUUUUAAUGGUUUGUCGAGUGUAUUUUAAGGGCACUCGGCAAACCCUCCACUUUUUGCCGAGUGUAUUCCCUCGACACUCGGCAAACUGGCGCUUUUUUUUGCCGAGUGUCGGAUUUCACUCUCGGCAAAAUAGUUUGCCGAGUGCGCGAUAGAAAACAGUCGGCAAACAAUUGUUUGCCGGCACGUUGUACGC